rnacentral:pre_miRNA from 1 species
AGGUCCUAUCCUCCAGUCCAAAACUAAUCAUUGAGAAUUUAGUUUGUACUGGGCAUAGGUUACCUCU